GACGAACGCUGGCGGCGUGCUUAACACAUGCAAGUCGAACGGAAAGGCCCUGCUUUCGCGGGGUGCUCGAGUGGCGAAGGGGUGUGUAACACGUGAGUAACCUGCCGUUGACUUUGGGAUAACUUCAGGAAACUGUGGCUAAUACCGGAUAGGAGCUCUUGCUGCUUGGUGGGGGAUGGAAAGUUUCGGCGGGUGGGGAUGGACUCGCGGCUUAUCAGCUUGUUGGUGGGGUAGGGGCUUACGAAGGCUUUGACGGGUGGCCGGCCUGGGAGGGUGACCGGCAACAUUGGGACUGAGAUGCGACCCGGACCCCAACGGGAGGCAGCGGUGGGGAAUAUUGCACAAUGGGCGGAAGCCUGAUGCAGCAACGCCGCGUGGGGGAUAACGGCCUUCGGGUUGUAACCCGCUUUCGCCUGUGACGAGGCGUGAGUGACGGUACUGGGUAAAGAAGCACCGGCUAACUACGUG
rnacentral:rRNA from 1 species